GGAGGUAAGCUGCUGAUGGAGCUGCAGCAUCCCUGAGUCUCCCGCCCUGGGAGGAGGAGGGGAAAAGAACACAGGCUGAGCAGUGGAGGGAAGAGGGAGCCAUUUCUCUCCACUAACUGCAACCUCUGUGUUUGCAGCUCACAUUUCCCGGGAAUCCAGAGGCCUCCUCGGCCAAGGACUCCACAAUGCUGGAUAUUUUCAUCCUGAUGUUCUUUGCCAUCAUAGGCCUGGUCAUUCUGUCCUACAUUAUCUAUCUGCUCUAGCGGCCUGUAGCUGCGGCGGGGAGCCCACAGGAGAACAGCUCAGGGGGGAAGGAUGAAGCUGGCUGGCCGAGCAUCCUGCUUUGUUGACGCACCGGUGGAUUUUUGCUUCUGGUCGUCAUUUCGGCUCCUGGUCUCCAAUCCAACAAGAGGCCUCUUAUCAACAGCAGCAGUCCUACUGCCCAGCAGACCUCUUCCAGAGCCUCCCGGAUACGGUUAACCCCUGUCAAGCAAGGGGCUUUUUGAGCUCAGAGGCACAGGCGCUCGGCUGGGACGUGAGGAAUUCAUGGGCCCUGCUGGCAGAUACUGUGUGCGUGUGUGAGUGUAGAUAGAGGGUGUUGAGAACACAGAGCUGAAAUGUGGACUCAUUCAAGUUACCAUGGAGAACUGCUCAGAAUUCAUUUUAUAGGCUUUCCUUAGGUCUAAAUGCAACUGUAUAUUAUGCUAAAAUAUGUUCCUUCCUUUCCCGCUCACACGCAGGGUUUCCCCUGUAAAUUCAAGAGCGCGCUGUCUCUGUUCAUCUAUGAGACGUCACUUUAUCACUCACUGUCUCUACAGAUUGCACAAUCUGGGCUUGUGUGGUUUCCCUGUCUUACACUCGAGCCAGAAGGAACUUGUCAUUUGAGUUUUUAAGAUUUAUCGUAUCUUCCCCAUUCCAUACCACUUCUGCCCCAGCUUCUCAUUUUAAGAGAGAAACAGUUAAUUAUCCUCAUUCUUUGUGCCUGGCUGAAUUAUAAAUUAUUGAAACAAGAUGGCUAUACUUAUCUUAUUAUUUGGGAAAAAUAUCUCUCUUAUCCCAAAAUAAACGAUUUUUAUGUUGUCAAAUGUUCCUUUUCUGGAAAAAAACCUUUCAGCAUAUUUCUGUCCAGUUAGGGUGAAGAAACCAUGUAUUUUGGAGGCCAGGGUAGACUUGGGCCCCAAAUCUGUAGUAUCUAUUCUUUUGAAAAAUCUAUCAUAAUUGUUAUACAUUUGAUUCUCCUUUCUAGCUUAAAAAUAAACAAGGAGAAAGAUUAACUUAAUAGUUUUUAUUCAUACCAUCAUGUUCAAUUUCCAUGUUUUAAAAAGACGUAAGAUCGAGGCAGUAUAUGUCACAAUUAAAAUGGAAAACUUGCAUAAAUUCUGGCCAAGAAAAAACACUGUUUUGGGAGAUUUGUCUUGGCAACAAAUUAUGUGACCUUCAGUAAGUCAUUUAACCUUCAGGGUUUCAUUUUUUCCUGACAAGUGAAAGAGUUGGACUAGAAAAUUGUUAGUGUCCCUUUCCACUUAAGAAUUCUCCAGUUCUAGAAUGAUUAUCUUUGGAAGCUACAUCUUUGAGAUCAGAAUUCCCACGGAACAAACUCUUAAUAGUUUGCCAGUAGUUCCCUUUUCUGCCUUCCCCAAAUGACAUUUUAUAAUGAAAACUCAACUGCAAAACUUUUUUUUUGGCACCGACAGCCACAUUAUGAGGAGAAAAUGACAAUAUUUAUUUACCCAAAACGUAUCUCAGUGAUAAUUUGCCUGAAGUGUUCAGGGAAUAUUGACAAAUGCAAUAUUACAUGGGGGUAAUCUGACAGACACACUAAUGCAAGAAGCAUGGCUCUGAGCACUAACGCCUUCAGCCAUGGUCUUCAGUUACCUGUGAAGUCCUUGACGUGACCUUUCCCGUUAAAACCUUCCUCUGACUCUUUGGCAUAACCUCGUGUUUCAAACUGACAUGUUCUACUUCGAGUCAAGAUAGCAGCUCUAUGUCCUUGCCUAGGUAACGAGGGCAAGUGUCAGUAUUUUGGAGGGUCCAGGUUACACGGUUAAUCAUGGUGGUGUAGAUCUUCACGGUAUAGUCUCUAACCAAGCUUGCUCUGGAGUCUUUUACGAGGUCAAGGCUCUUCAGUCUGUAUCCAUAUAAAGUCGAAACCACUAAGCAAUUCAGGGAAAAAAUCAGCCAAUUUCAGUCAUAUACCAGUGAUAUAUAACACUGAUUUUCAGCACAAUAUAAGGAAUGCAAGAUUACCCAUCUUUUCAAUUAGUUGUAGAAUAGCAUGGUUUUAAAAAAUAAUUACAUUUUAGAAGAAAUUUCAUGACUCUGUGCCUAUGCCAGUUUAUAACAGAGUCUUAUUGUGUUCAUCAUUUCGAUAAAAAGUUUUUAAAUUUCACAUUUAAGCUAUUUGUAUAUAGACAUCCUAAAACAUAAUAAAACACUGAAAAAAGUUACUUCCAUAAUAUAAAGUUUUGUAUUAAUUUUACAAUCUGUGUCAGGGUGAUCUUGUCCUCUAAAACAGGAACUGUACUUGGCUCACAUCAGUUUUAGAUCACUUACAAAGAGAUGAGUGUGGCGUGAUGCUGAGAACCAUUCCACGAAUGUAUGGUUUCUUGAUAAAAAUAAGGGGUUUGUGUGGAAAAGUGACAUAUUUUAUUUUAGGAGAAAGGAUAUAUUUUGGGAAACAGGUAAAUAGUGAAAAGACAAUUGUUACUAAGUUAGAACCACCUAAGACUCAUUGUUCUGGUUGUAUGGAAUCAAAUUCAAACUUUCUGAGUUUGAAACUUAGCUUGAUAUGAUUUAUUAAAUUUCAGAAAAUUUGUUUGCUUUUAAAAGGCUUAAAAUUAGCAUUAUUCAAACUUCAAAAUCCCUUAAAAGUAUCAUUUUAAUUUUAUAUUACUCAAAAAUAAAGGGAAUUUCCCUUAAUAAAGUACUUAAGCAGAGGUGAAGUGGAAAAUUGUAAAUUAUAUGCUUUGGCUUUAUCACACUCCAAAUAUUUGCUAAGCCUAGAAUGGCCUCUUCUAAGUCAGUUUUGCUCCCAUCUAUUUUAAACAAAAAUAAAACCAAAGUCACAUAUAAAAGAGGAAACAGAAAGUCAUCAGCACAACUUCCCUGCUAGUGGAAUUGGUAAAGAAGUCACAGUGCUACAAGGUAUUCAUAACCAAAGAGGCUUUUGUAGCAGCUUCGUGUUUUCACCCUCCACUGUGUUUAUUGACGUAAAAAUCUGUAAUCAUAUAAUUGAGUACUACUCACUCAAAGAGGUGAACUCUGAAGUAAUAAUCACAUGGUUUUUAAGUUGACAUAAGAUGGUCCUUCCAGCUGCACCUUCUGCGGGACAUUCAUGCUUGCUCUAAUCUCCAAAGGUGAAUAAUUAUCCUGGCAAUAAAAUCUUUGUUAUUAACAGAGGAACUGAAAGCAUGAACGAAGUCAUGAGAGGAUGGGAAAGCAGGAAAUAAGGUGCCUAUUGUUCCUGCUGUGGAGAGCAGUCUGAUCAACCACUGCGGCAACUUCUUGAAUGCUUGAAUUUACUGCCUGCAUUGUGAAUAUGUUCAAGUCAAGGGGUCAGAAGGGCAUGAGAAGGAAUUAUCCAAAAAAGUGUUAACAAUAGAUGUUCUGUGGUUUCUUAAGGCACGGAGUAUUUAUCACAAGAUAUAAACUUUACAUUAGUUUCUAUGAAAAGUAGCAUCAUUAGCUUGUUAUUAGUAUUUUUGUGGUAUGGUGUGUGUGUUUAGAAACAAUAGUAAAGAUAAAUAUAAUGAUGUGUUGUUGAGCUUGCCUUCUAGUGGAAGUAAAAACCAUCCUACAAAUCAAAGUCAAAGGAGACUGAGGAAGUCACUAUCAGAAGGAAAGAAAAAGCUAGAAGCCCAGGUUAAUCUUCUAAUUUAGAAAAAGGUACAGGAUAAAUUGUCUCGCCUACUAGUAGUUUACAUUAUUGUUAUUAUGACUGUCCCAGAGAUAGAAGUGAACAAUCUUCUAGGGUUUUCAGGCUAUUCAUUUUGCAAAUGCUCCUUUUUUGUGCCAUACGGCUGCCUAUAACAUCACUUAAAUAUCAAUACUAAUGAGAGUAAUACAAGUUUUUGCAAGUUAAUCUCUCACUUUAAAAUUUGAUAUCAUGCUUUAUUACUGAUGACAAAUGUAUUCAGCAAAAAACUGGACUCUCAAAUCGAAGAAACUAUAAAUUUGGUUUCAUAUGUUAUUUUUAUCUAUUAGUAAUUGAUGAGGAAUUUGUCAGUUUACUUCUUCUGGGUAGCAAGAUGGUAUCAUUUAUCUACUGCACCCAAAGAAUGAAUCACAUUUCUUAUGUUCCAAAUUUCUGAGGAUGGUGAGAUAAUCUCACAAUCAUUGAGAAUAAUGCAAUAAUGUGAUUUAAAAAAAAUUUACAGCAGCAGUCGUGUCAGUUCAAGUGUGUAAUGAGCUUCAAAAUCCAGAUCAAAAAUGUUUUAAAUGAAACCAUGCUUCUUUUGUAAACUUGCUGAAAAUAACUGCUGUGGAGAUUUGGACAAUUAAAGGAAUUCAAG
ensembl:lncRNA